rnacentral:rRNA from 1 species
AGCGAACGCUGGCGGCAGGCUUAACACAUGCAAGUCGAGCGGCAUCCUUGUGGUGUCAGCGGCAGACGGGUGAGUAACGCGUGGGAACGUGCCCUUUGGUUCGGAAUAACUCAGGGAAACUUGAGCUAAUACCGGAUACGCCCUUUUGGGGAAAGGCUUGCUGCCGAAGGAUCGGCCCGCGUCUGAUUAGCUUGUUGGUGAGGUUAUGGCUCACCAAGGCGACGAUCAGUAGCUGGUCUGAGAGGAUGAUCAGCCACACUGGGACUGAGACACGGCCCAGACUCCUACGGGAGGCAGCAGUGGGGAAUAUUGGACAAUGGGGGCAACCCUGAUCCAGCCAUGCCGCGUGAGUGAUGACGGCCUUAGGGUUGUAAAGCUCUUUUCUCCGGGACGAUAAUGACGGUACCGGAGGAAUAAGCCCCGGCUAACUUCGUGCCAGCCGCCGCCGUAAAAC